CCUACGGGAGGCAGCAGUGAGGAAUAUUGGUCAAUGGACGAGAGUCUGAACCAGCCAAGUAGCGUGAAGGAUGACUGCCCUAUGGGUUGUAAACUUCUUUUAUAAAGGAAUAAAACGAGGCACGUGUGCCUUUUUGCAUGUACUUUAUGAAUAAGGAUCGGCUAACUCCGUGCCAGCAGCCGCGGUAAUACGGAGGAUCCGAGCGUUAUCCGGAUUUAUUGGGUUUAAAGGGAGCGUAGAUGGGUUGUUAAGUCAGUUGUGAAAGUUUGCGGCUCAACCGUAAAAUUGCAAGUGAUACUGGCAGUCGUGAGUACAGUUGAGGUAGGCGGAAUUCGUGGUGUAGCGGUGAAAUGCUUAGAUAUCACGAAGAACCCCGAUUGCGAAGGCAGCUUACUAAACUGUGACUGACAUUGAUGCUCGAAAGUGUGGGUAUCAAACAGGAUUAGAUACCCCAGUAGUC
rnacentral:rRNA from 1 species